GGGGGUAUAGCUCAGUUGGGAGAGCACCUGCCUUGCAAGCAGGGGGUCACGAGUUCGAGUCUCGUUAUCUCCA
rnacentral:tRNA from 2 species